rnacentral:rRNA from 1 species
UACAGAGGGGGCAAGCGUUGUUCGGAAUCACUGGGCAUAAAGCGCACGUAGGCGGCUAGGUCCGUCCGAUGUGAAAGCCCCCGGCUCAACCGGGGAAUUGCAUCGGAUACAGCCUGGCUUGAGGACGGUUGGGGUGAGUGGAACUCCUGGUGGAGCGGUGAAAUGCGCAGAUAUCGGGAGGAACACCUAUGGCGAAGGCAGCUCGCUGGGACGGUACUGACGCUGAGACGCGAAAGCGUGGGGAGCAAACAGG